GACGAACGCUGGCGGCGUGCUUAACACAUGCAAGUCGAACGGUAAGGCCCUUCGGGGUACACGAGUGGCGAACGGGUGAGUAACACGUGGGUGAUCUGCCCUGCACUUCGGGAUAAGCCUGGGAAACUGGGUCUAAUACCGGAUAGGACCACUGCCUACAUGGGUGGUGGUGGAAAGCUUUUGCGGUGUGGGAUGGGCCCGCGGCCUAUCAGCUUGUUGGUGGGGUGAUGGCCUACCAAGGCGACGACGGGUAGCCGGCCUGAGAGGGUGACCGGCCACACUGGGACUGAGAUACGGCCCAGACUCCUACGGGAGGCAGCAGUGGGGAAUAUUGCACAAUGGGCGCAAGCCUGAUGCAGCGACGCCGCGUGAGGGAUGACGGCCUUCGGGUUGUAAACCUCUUUCAGCACCGACGAAGCGCAAGUGACGGUAGGUGCAGAAGAAGGACCGACCAACUACGUGCCAGCCGCCGCCGUAA
rnacentral:rRNA from 1 species